AGCCUCACUGAGGUUCCUGAGGUACAAUACAGAUACGAGCCUCUCUGAGGUUCCUGAGGUCAAUACAGAGUACUAGCCUCUCUCUCUGAGGUGCCUGAGGUACAAUACAGAUACUAGCCUCUCUGAGGUUCCUGAGGUACAAUACAGAUACUAGCCUCUCUGAGGUUCCUGAGGUACAAUACAGAUACUAGCCUCUCUCUGAGGUUCCUGAGGUACAAUACAGAUACUAGCCUCUCUCUCGAGGUUCCGGAGUACAAUACAGAUACUAGCCUCUCUCGAUGGUUCCUGAGGUACAAUACAGUACUACC
rnacentral:lncRNA from 1 species